rnacentral:tRNA from 1 species
UAGCUCAGUUGGAUAGAGCAACGGCCUUCUAAGCCGUAGGUCACACGUUCGAAUCGUGUAGGGCGGGCCA